GAUGAACGCUGGCGGCGUGCUUAACACAUGCAAGUCGAACGAAGCACUUUAUUUGAUUUCCUUCGGGACUGAUUAUUUUGUGACUGAGUGGCGGACGGGUGAGUAACGCGUGGGUAACCUGCCUUGUACAGGGGGAUAACAGUUGGAAACGGCUGCUAAUACCGCAUAAGCGCACAGCAUCGCAUGAUGCAGUGUGAAAAACUCCGGUGGUAUAAGAUGGACCCGCGUUGGAUUAGCUAGUUGGUGAGGUAACGGCCCACCAAGGCGACGAUCCAUAGCCGACAUGAGAGGGUGACCGGCCACAUUGGGGGUGGGACACGGCCCAAACUCCUACGGGAGGCAGCAGAGGGGAAUAUUGCACAAUGGGCGAAAGCCUGAUGCAGCGACGCCGCGUGAGCGAAGAAGUAUUUCGGUAUGUAAAGCUCUAUCAGCAGGGAAGAUAAUGACGGUACCUGACUAAGAAGCACCGGCUAAAUACGUG
rnacentral:rRNA from 1 species